ACUAAUUUAAUAUUUUGUCUUAUCACAUGUUAUUUCCACCGCUGCCAUCUGCACAGUAGGUACUUGCAUGGAACAAAUUUAAAAUCUACUUAGCAAUAAAUCCAAACAAUAGAAAAAUAGUUGUAUAGGUAUAGUGCACAGUGUUAUGGGCGCCAUUCGAACACAGCCUUUUGAUGGGAAGAUGUACACGUGUGUUAGGUCUACAAAUGGUUUUUUAUUAGAAUUUAAACAAAAC